ensembl:lncRNA
AGCCCCGUGGUGACCCAGAGGAGAGCUCUGACUAUUAUAAUGUCAAUCCAAAUUCAAUCCCAGGUCCAUAAAGAGCAGCUCACCAUCACGAGGUUUCGGGUAACCUUCCUGUGGCAGGGGUGUGGUCUUUGCCUCCGCAGCAGGGGAGGGGUGGUGCAGCAGGGGGCAGUGCCAGGGACACUGAUGGAGAGGGUGGAGAUAGUUCCUCUAAUGAGAAUCUUUUAGUGAUGCCAAGACGCAUAAAGAGCAGUGCAGUCAGCUGGAGAGCUGAGUGACGUGGGUGCUGAACCGAAAGCAGUGUGUACACUUCAAUAAAUGAAAAAGCACAGUUUGAAUCUGGUGUGGGUCCUUGUGUGUUACACUUACCCUUUUUAACCUCUGGC